AAAAAUAUCUAGAACAAAAACUUGUCAUUGAAAGGAACUAGACCUUAUUGUCCAUCGUGUUUAUCUAUCUGAGCAAAAAGGCUUUUUCAGAAAAAGAUGCAAAAGUUAGGGGUCUUGCUAAGUGUAAUCUCUCAAUAAAUCAAAACCUUGAUGGACAUUGUAGUGCAGUGCAAUCAUAGUGACAUGGAAUGAACAGUAUCAAAAGCUAGUGACCAGUAUCCAUGGCCUUAUCAUUGAUUCAGGAUUUUUUAGAAAGAGGUGGCUACUUAUUUCCUUUCUUAAAAGUACAGAUUGUUAAGUACAUGAACAUGUUUGUUUCCGAUGUACAUGCAGGCAUAGAUAUAUUUAUGGAAUUGAAUUCAACAACUGUUUAUCCAGACAUUGUAUUUUCAGCACUUCUCUAUGAGUCGAGAUAUUUGCCUUGAGUAUAGAUAAGAAAGAAAGAAGAAGGAAAGCAAUAUUUGAAUCUUAGUUCUCAACACGAGAACUUAAUAUCAACUGGUUGAACAAAAACGAUACCAGGCUAUUUGGCGAAAGGUGUAAGGAUAGAUGCAGGCUCAAUAUUUGAAAUCCGUGCAGCAUUUGUUUUGUACCAAUGAACAACUAUAUUAUGAGUUUGCCUCGCUAUCAUUUGAUACUUGUUAAGAAAGAUUAAUUGCUUUUUGUGUACCUGCCUUGCUUCGUUUUUAAGAAUGCCAUAAAUUUUAAGAUCCUUCUAAAUUUUUUGGUUCUCGUAAUUAA